AUGGUAAUAAGUGGUAUUAGGUGAGAAAAAGAAGAAAACAUUGGAUUGUUUUACUUCUUCUUCUUCCCAUAAACGCAAAACACCAUUGUUGAACAAUAAGAGUUUUGGCCAAGCUCCUUUUUUUGCUUGGAUCAAGAUGCGCAACAACCAGACUUGAAUCGUAGAAAGGCCAAAGCUUCAGAUUAGUCGUCGGUACCUUUUUGUGCAAUCGUGUAGUCGAGGUCAUUAGAAAGCUCGAUCAGUUGGAAUUUCGUUGGAGCACAAUCACACUAUCCAAUCAUUGUUUUGGUAGCUUUCGGUUACAUUGGUUAAGGUUAUAAAUAAAAUGUAAUAGGGCUUAAACAUUAUCUUGGCUUGUUUUGAUUAGGUGCCAGGUCUAUUUAUAUAUAUUUUUUUUGUCCUUUUUAGGAUGUUUUGUAAACAUGGUGUAGAUAUGUGAUUUUAAAUUCUUAUGCAUGACAUUUUGAAAGUGA